AGACAUUAUUGUCACUCCAAGCCAUCAAACCUCCAUCCCAUACACCAUUGUCCACUCUGCCAGGCACACCAAGUGAUGAGGUGACAAAGGCCAGCAUCCCAAGGGAGUUACCAACCUGAUGUCACAAGCAGCUGAGAAACACGCACUCCCGCGGACUGUGCCUCCAAACAGUUACAGGGCGUGGAUAAAAUUCUGGGGAGCAGAGAGGACAUUUCUGCGGGCACUGCUAAGCUCUGAGAACCUGGAAGGGUAAAAAGCAGAGUCCCCAGUCACAAAGAGUCCCAGCAGUUGGUUUUUAAGACAAUGAAGGCUGGGUACAACAGACUUUAGCAAAGGAGAGAAAGUUUGCAAGAGAAGAAGUGAUGCAGUGAAAAGGCAGGGCGGAAAGAACCUAGGCCUAGAAAGCAGAGUCAUGUCAAAAUGGCGCCUGACUGAAUAAGCAUCCAGGAAAGGCGAUGCAAGGAGAAUAAAGAGCUCUCCUGUCAUAAAAGGAAAUGUUUUUUGUAACUCAGGGUACAAGGUCGGGAGACCUGGGAUUUUUGAUCCCCUGGUUUUGAAGACAAGCCGAGGCCCCCAUUCAAGGGAAGAGGCAGGCUGGGCCUCCUUAGUACCUGGAUCCCGAGGAGGCCCCACAGGCCCUGUGGAAGACGUGGAGGCCCGCCACCGUCCUUGAGGAGGUCCCAGUGCUAAUAAAGACACAACACAGACUGGCACCCUGUCAUGGGAAGUGACUGGAAGUCAGGCACUCUGGCUGAGAGGCCUUGAGGCAACAAUCAUGUAAGACACCUUUUAUGACUUCUUGUGGGUCUGUCUUCCUUGCCAGACAUGGGCUUCUCAAGGACAGAGAACACACCUUUUUUAAUCUCUGAAUUUUCAGGGCCUAGCCCCUGUGGGCACAUGAGAAUAUUCAAUGUUCAAUAUAUGAAUUUCCUCAGGAUUUUCAUGUAAUGUACACAUUCAACCCUCACAAGAUGGGUUUUAAAAAUUCCAUUGGAAAGUGGAGAACCGGAGAGGCUUGGAGAGAUGAAAUGCCUUUUCUAAGAUGACACAGCUAGGAAAUAGCAAAGCCCUGUGUGACCCAUCUUCCCAGCAACCUCACCGUUCACCUCCCUCCACCCCCACAACUGCCCCGUGGCAUUCCAACCACGGACGGUGCGAGAUAGGCCCUCAACGCCCUGUCCUCGUCCUGCCUCGUCUUCGCACACUCAGCAAGCAAGAGUACGAGAAGCUUCUGUGUACGAGAGACUGAGCGAGGCACCGCACAUACUGCUGUGAAUCAAAGUCCCUGCUUGCAGGGAGCUUGCAUUCCAGAAAGGAGACGGAGAGUGAGCAAGAAAGGACAUACGUGAACCUCAGCACGUAUGACAUGAGCUACAAAGAAAACCACUCUCAGUCAUGAUCGAGUGUCACAGGGGAAGACAGUGCGACUAGGGAUGAGCUGGAUACUCAGCAGAAACAGGGAAGGGGUCCUAGGGAAGGGGCAUGGGCAGUCUGGAGCCCCGAAACAGGGCCUCUGGAAGAUGAGCUCCCCACACUUUCAGCCCCUCCAGAGAAGAAGGAUGGUCCUGUGCUGCCACUCAACCCCCCAGCACAGGGACAGGAGUAUAGUAGUUAUGAGGCUACUUUAGUGGUUCAGGUAGAUACCAGUGGCUUGGAUCAGGAAGGUAGUGGUGGGAAUAGAGAAGGUUAAAAGGAUCUGGGGGGACACAUUUUGGCAGUAGAGUCAAGGGGGGAUUGCUAAUGGGGUAUAUUUGCUCAUUAUUGUCACUCUGCCCAGUAACCUUCUCCCCUACUGGUCCUCAGGUGUCACUGUUGUUUUUAACAACUUUAUUGAGAUUGAAUUCAUAUACCAUACAAUUCACCUAUGUGAGUGUAUAAUUCAAGGGCUUUUCGUAUACUCACCAAGUUGUGCAAUGAUUACAGAAUCAAUUUCAAAGCACCACCUGAAUAGGAAACCCUGUGGCCCUCAGCCAUAACCCCUCAAUGCUCCCAUUUCCACCAGAUCUAGGCAAACAGUAACCUACUCCCUGUCUCUACAGAUUUGCCUAUGCUAGAUAUUUCACCCAAAGGAAAUCAUACAAUAUUUGAUCCUUUGUGACCGCCUUCUUUCACUCAGCAUAACGUCCUCAAGCUUCAUGCACGUUGUAGUAUGCAUCAGUACUUUUUUCCUCUUUAACGUCAAAUAACAUUCCAGGGUACGGACACCACAUUUAAUUUAUCCAUUCAUCACAGGAGGGACAUUUGAGCUGUUUUCAUUUUGCAGCUAUAAUGAGUAAUACUGUUCUGAACAUUCACGUACAAGUUGUGUGUGUGUGUAUGUGUGUGUGUGUGUGUGAACCUGUAUUUUCAUUUCUCUUGGGUGCCGACCGAGGAGUGGAAUUGCUGGGUCACGUGGUAACUCUGUGUUUCACCUUCGGAGGAAAUGCCAGACUGUCCUCCAACGUGGCUGCGCUGUUUUACGUUCCCACCAGCAGUGUGUGAGUGUUCUCUGGUGUCACUUUAAAGCAUUUCCCCACCUCUUUUUCCUGGAGUGUCACCCAGGAGGCGUUAGAUGCUUCUUCCAUUCUCACCAAUACUCUGUGCAAAUCCCGAUGGCACUUCUUUGCAUGCUGUGCUGUCUUCACUAAUUUUCUUAGCUCUCUGUGGCCGUCUUUAACAGGGACUGUCUCUUUCACCUCUUCAUUCCCAACGUCUAAUUCCUGGCACAUGGCUGGUUUCCAGCCUCCUCCACGACUGGGUCAAAGAGGCAGUCCGGAUUCAUUGGAACACUCCCAGAUAAUUUGGAGCCAGUCAACAACAGGUCUGAAGUCUUCAGGGACACUGAAAAAAGAUCAAAGCAAAAUCUGAAAGCAAGCUGCUACAGAGCUGAGGCUACAGGGAAAAGAUUAUCUGCUUCUAUAGCUGCCUUCCGACAGAUGUUAUAAAUGAGUAAUUUAUAAAUGUGCAAUUUACAGGAUAUCUACAACAGUGCCCAGAAUGCUGAUUCAGGGAGAACAGGGUGAAACAAUUUGAGCACACAGAGACCCAACUAAGCGCCUAUGGACAUCAUGAAGAAAGGCUAGAGGACCAGACCUGGAGCCCAUGUUGUCUGAACCUGAAGUUCCUGAUCGUCAUCAUUGUAGUAUUCUGAGUCUCUUAAUGGCUGCAAUUUAAUCAACUUUUUCUCUUAGAAUUAAGUUUCUAGAUAAUAAAAAUGUCUGUCUGAAAAAAGUUCAGACGUAUUUUAGGACUAUUUACAAGUGCCAUAAGAGCCCAGCUGGUCCCACACUGGGGCUCCUUAUCCAACAUGGCACAUAACUGAUCUGUUAGCACCCCAAGUUUCAGAUGCCAACCAACUUGGCAGCCACCAUGUUGCUAAUUUGUUCGUUUCCAAUGAGACAACAGCUGUCAAGUGGAUGUGAUAGGGAUGUUUGGGGAUCAAGCCAUUCUCUCUCUGCAGACAAAUCCACACAGGGAGUAAGACCAUGAGCAGAAGUUGACUUGCCAAAGAUCAAAUGUGGCGAAGGGUGAGUAUAAAGAUGAUAAUGGCUGAUGCUCCUGAUUCCUCGGGGACAGGGGCUGGGGGUGGAGUGUCUCUCCUGCACAACGGACCUGGACAGGCACUGCCUCUCUUCACCCUCUUUCUGCAAAGCCUUUUCUUCCUUUGCCUGCAUCGGUGCCUACAGUCCAUUCAUCAUUGUCUUGGCCUAGAAAACAUUUUAUUUCUAAGAUGACUUUGCACUUUUUCACACUGACCUAAGUCAGUGUUAUAGCUUAACCCAGAGGACGACCUUACCGAUUUUGAAUCCUUGCGAGGCACCUUGUGGACCCUGUAUUCUAUCUACAAGAGAGGACUGGUUGAUCCAAAAUGGGAUGGGAAAGAGGGGCAGUGGAAAGCUCUCAGCUGGUGAUCGGAGCGCCUUCUCAUACUCCAUCCCAAGCCUUACGUGAGCAAGGGGAAAAAUGUUUCUUUCCCUUUCCCCUGUUUUCCCUUCAGAGCUUUCAGUAUGACACCAGCAAUAAGGCAUCCUGUACUCAUAAUUCUGUCUUAACUCAUCAUUUACGACAGCUGAUCUUACAACCUUCCCUGCUUGUAUCAUAACGAAGAGAAAAAUUGAUAGGCAGUUAGGGCAAAGGUUUUGCCAACUGCUAUUGCUUUUACCCCAGGAUUGCCUGGAAGCAUGCUUUUUCCUUUCACUUCUCUCCCUAACCCAUCACGUGAGUUAAAAGCCAUAGGAAACCUGGCAGAAACAUCUCAGGUAAGGUUCUGAUUUUCAGGAAGUCCCAGAGCCCUGUCUUUGGGAUAGCCUUGGGGUAAGUGUUCUCUGUCCCAUUGUGAUCAGGGAACAUUUUCUUGGUAAUGGCAAUGCAUGGAGAAACAAAAUCUUGGAAAAGAGGUUACCCUCUGAGAAUUAAACUAGUAAAAUACA